rnacentral:rRNA from 1 species
CACGUAGGGUGCGAGCGUUGUCCGGAAUUAUUGGGCGUAAAGAGCUCGUAGGCGGUGUGUCGCGUCGGCCGUGAAAACCUGCAGCUUAACUGUGGGCGUGCGGUCGAUACGGGCAUCACUGGAGUUCGGCAGGGGAGACUGGAAUUCCUGGUGUAGCGGUGAAAUGCGCAGAUAUCAGGAGGAACACCGGUGGCGAAGGCGGCAUCCUGGACCAAUACUGACGCUGAGGAGCGAAAGCCAGGGGAGCAAACGGG